GGCAAUAUGUGGUUUGUUGUCAUGGUGACUGUCAGCUGUGCGGCAGUCCCAGCCAAUCACGGUGGGAGACUAUCUAUAAAGGCGGGCGUAGAGCACCUGUCGGCCUCUUGCUUGCCGUAGGCUGGGUCACGUUGCGCCUGGGCGUCCAUUUCCGCUUCCGUGCGGUGACAGGCUCUUGCUUGCCGGAGGCUGGGUCACGUAGCUCCUGUGCGUCUAUUUCCGCUUCUGUGCAGUGAUAGGGCUCACUUGGAUGUUGCUGCUGGCUGCGCGCUGCUCAUCGAUACAUAGCCGAUGCCGCCUACUGAACUGUCGCUUUUGGAUAGCGUCCCGUUCCCUGCUCCACGCCACGUUGGCCGGGACUGCCCGAUUGGGUGGCCGACAGUAGCGGCGCAGCGGCGGCCAAUCCACCUAUAAAAACCACUGCUGCUUUGCCUCCACGUUAUUACCGCCUUGCCAGGGCCAGCUCGGACCCGAUCGCUUUGCCGUUCAUUCGGCUAGCGAUAGUUUGUUCCUUUUCCUGUUGUGUCGCUAUCUCUUUUGU